UACGUAGGGUGCAAGCGUUGCCCGGAUUUAUUGGGCGUAAAGGGCGCGUAGGCGGUGUGGUAAGUCUGAUGUGAAAACUCUAGGCUCAACUUGGAGAUUGCAUCAGAAACUGCCGUGCUAGAGUGCGGGAGAGGAGAGUGGAAUUCCUGGUGUAGCGGUGAAAUGCGUAGAUAUCAGGAGGAACACCGGUGGCGAAGGCGGCUCUCUGGACCGCAACUGACGCUGAGGCGCGAAAGCCAGGGGAGCGAACGGG
rnacentral:rRNA from 1 species